rnacentral:rRNA from 1 species
UCUGGUGAAGUGUUCGGAUUGUAGCCUACGAGUGGUUUGCCACCGAUGAGUCAUGAGAAGUCCGCUAAACCUUAUCAUUUAGAGGAAGGAGAAGUCAUAACAAGGUUCCAUAGGUGAACCUGCAAAAGGAUCAUUG